rnacentral:lncRNA from 1 species
UGUCCACAACAUAAUACUACUCAUGUUAUAUGACAUUCACCGAAGAUCACUCUCGGUUGGACUAUAGUUUGUUUUGAAUAAACACAAGUUCGAAUACUUUGCAAAAGGUUUCAAAGAAUUCAAGAAAUGUAAGUUGAUGAGUAAGACGUCUAAAGUAUUUACAUCCUUAGAUUUGAUCCAAGGAAUGGUAACACUUUAGAAUAGUUUUCUUGAAAGAUAUCAAGGAAAAUAGCAUCAUAAGAUAAUAAAUUUCUCUUUUAGGAGAAGAACGAACUCGAAUAAGAUUUAGUUCGUUAGAUGUUAUCUAUUACCCAUAUAUAGGAUAUAUACUUCUAAAACAAUAUGAUUGUAAAUUAGAAGAUCUUCCAAUAUUUUCAUGACUCCAUAAGAUGUAGUUGGAAAGAAAGACAAAUCUUAAGCAUGUUAAGAUUUGGGGUUGUGAGCUAAUAAGCAAUAUUUGUUUGAGAACAAUCUUUUGGGAUAUCCUUAAAUUAACUUUUGGAUAUCGCUUCUAUAAACCAACUAACAAAUGUUGUUUUGUUGGGUAGUUCAUUGUAAUCUUACAAUGUGAUUUGCCUAAGAGCAAAUGAACGAGAGAUAGAACUCAAAGAAUGGGUUCUUUGAGAGACAAGAAAGUAAUCAAUAAAUAUAACAACCUAGUUCCUAUACCAAAAGCUCCAAGGUAGUCGAGAAGGAUUUAUAAACCGUCUAAGUUGAAUGGUUUGAACUUUAUGACUAUGUCAUAGAGUUGCACCUCUUAAUUCGAAAGAAAUAAGAAUGAAAAU